AAGGUUUCUUGAUCUCUAUGCCCUGCGAAUUGUGUGACAGGCAGUACUAAUGUGGCUGGGACAAUUUAAAGUGUUUGUUUCAGACCGGACCUUACUCUUUAUAUAUUAAAUGUAAACUAUAAUAUAUUAGUUUUAAAGGUACACGUCGUAGCGCUCAAGUUGAAGAAGCUGUGACAUUUUUGGAAGGGAUUGUCUUACCUUUCUAAGGUCCAGUUCAACCAAUUCAUCUAAUGACUAACCUAGCGGACUAGAUUCGGGGAUUAGUUUUCCUUUUUAGUCCCUUUGCUUUUCCUGUCUGGACCACGGUUUUUGACUGGUUAUUUCGCUGUUGUUAAGCCAAUCCUUAGCACAUAGUUUCGACCAGGAGAAAAGCUACCAUUUGGUCUUUUGUCUGUGAAACUGGAACAGACUUCACAUAUUCUACGUUACUGGGCGUUCAUGGUCUUCCACUCUUCCUGAGCUAAAGUGAACAAAAAUAAGGCUGAGAAAGCUUAAAACCUAUUAAAACACCACUGGAAAGAUGGAUUCUGGUGUCGGAACUAAAGGUGAGUGUUUCUUUAUAAUUUAUAGUAGUUACCCCUAAC